rnacentral:rRNA from 1 species
UACGGGAGCAGAUCAACAGGGAUUGCCCCAGUAACGGCGAGUGAAGCGGCAACAGCUCAAAUUUGAAAUCUGGCCCUCGGGUCCGAGUUGUAAUUUGCAGAGGAUGCUUCGGGCGAGGUGCCUUCCGAGUUCCCUGGAACGGGACGCCAUAGAGGGUGAGAGCCCCGUCUGGUUGGACACCGAGCCCGUGUGAAGCUCCUUCGAAGAGUCGAGUAGUUUGGGAAUGCUGCUCAAAAUGGGAGGUAUAUGUCUUCUAAAGCUAAAUAUUGGCCAGAGACCGAUAGCGCACAAGUAGAGUGAUCGAAAGAUGAAAAGCACUUUGAAAAGAGGGUUAAAAAGUACGUGAAAUUGUUGAAAGGGAAGCGCCCAUGACCAGACUUGGGCCCGGUGAAUCACCCGGCGUUCUCGCCGGUGCACUUUGCCGGGCACAGGCCAGCAUCAGUUUGGCGCGGGGGACAAAGGCUUCGGGAAUGUGGCUCCCUCGGGAGUGUUAUAGCCCGCUGCGCAAUACCCUGCGCCGGACUGAGGUACGCGCAUCGCAAGGAUGCUGGCGUAAUGGUCAUCAGCGACCCGUCUUGAAACACGGACCAAGGAGUCGUCUUCGUAUGCGAGUGUUCGGGUGUCAAACCCCUACGCGGAAUGAAAGUGAACGCAGGUGAGAGCUUCGGCGCAUCAUCGACCGAUCCUGAUGUUCUCGGAUGGAUUUGAGUAAGAGCAUACGGGGCCGGACCCGAAAGAAGGUGAACUAUGCCUGUAUAGGGUGAAGCCAGAGGAAACUCUGGUGGAAGCUCGCAGCGGUUCUGACGUGCGAAUCGAUCGUCAAAUAUGGGCAUGGGGGCGAAAGACUAAUCGAACCUUCUAGUAGCUGGUUUCCGCCGAGU